rnacentral:rRNA from 1 species
GGCUGAGGUGUGAUGACGAGGCACUACGGUGCUGAAGUAACAAAUGCCCUGCUUCCAGGAAAAGCCUCUAAGCAUCAGGUAACAUCAAAUCGUACCCCAAACCGACACAGGUGGUCAGGUAGAGAAUACCAAGGCGCUUGAGAGAACUCGGGUGAAGGAACUAGGCAAAAUGGUGCCGUAACUUCGGGAGAAGGCACGCUGGUGUGUAGGUGAAGUCCCUGCGGAUGGAGCUGAGACCAGUCGAAGAUACCAGCUGGCUGCAACUGUUUAUUAAAAACACAGCACUGUGCAAACACGAAAGUGGACGUAUACGGUGUGACGCCUGCCCGGUGCCGGAAGGUUAAUUGAUGGGGUUAUCCGUAAGGAGAAGCUCUUGAUCGAAGCCCCGGUAAACGGCGGCCGUAACUAUAACGGUCCUAAGGUAGCGAAAUUCCUUGUCGGGUAAGUUCCGACCUGCACGAAUGGCGUAAUGAUGGCCAGGCUGUCUCCACCCGAGACUCAGUGAAAUUGAACUCGCUGUGAAGAUGCAGUGUACCCGCGGCAAGACGGAAAGACCCCGUGAACCUUUACUAUAGCUUGACACUGAACAUUGAGCCUUGAUGUGUAGGAUAGGUGGGAGGCUUUGAAGCGUGGACGCCAGUCUGCGUGGAGCCAACCUUGAAAUACCACCCUUUAAUGUUUGAUGUUCUAACGUUGGCCCCUGACCGGGGUUGCGGACAGUGUCUGGUGGGUAGUUUGACUGGGGCGGUCUCCUCCCAAAGCGUAACGGAGGAGCACGAAGGUUAGCUAAUCCUGGUCGGACAUCAGGAGGUUAGUGCAAUGGCAUAAGCUAGCUUGACUGCGAGCGUGACGGCGCGAGCAGGUGCGAAAGCAGGUCAUAGUGAUCCGGUGGUUCUGAAUGGAAGGGCCAUCGCUCAACGGAUAAAAGGUACUCCGGGGAUAACAGGCUGAUACCGCCCAAGAGUUCAUAUCGACGGCGGUGUUUGGCACCUCGAUGUCGGCUCAUCACAUCCUGGGGCUGAAGUAGGUCCCAAGGGUAUGGCUGUUCGCCAUUUAAAGUGGUACGCGAGCUGGGUUUAGAACGUCGUGAGACAGUUCGGUCCCUAUCUGCCGUGGGCGCUGGAGAAUUGAGGGGGGCUGCUCCUAGUACGAGAGGACCGGAGUGGACGCAUCACUGGUGUUCGGGUUGUCAUGCCAAUGGCACUGCCCGGUAGCUAAAUGCGGAAGAGAUAAGUGCUGAAAGCAUCUAAGCACGAAACUUGCCCCGAGAUGAGUUCUCCCUGAGACUUUAAGUCUCCUGAAGGAACGUUAAAGACGAUGACGUUGAUAGGCCGGGUGUGUAAGCGCAGCGAUGCGUUGAGCUAACCGGUACUAAUGAACCGUGAGGCUUAACCUUACAACGCCGAAG